UACAGAGGGGGCAAGCGUUGUUCGGAAUUACUGGGCGUAAAGGGCGCGUAGGCGGCCUGUUAAGUCGAACGUGAAAUCCCCGGGCUCAACCCGGGAACUGCGUCCGAUACUGGCAGGCUUGAAUCCGGGAGAGGGAUGUGGAAUUCCAGGUGUAGCGGUGAAAUGCGUAGAUAUCUGGAGGAACACCGGUGGCGAAGGCGGCAUCCUGGGACCGGUAUUGACGCUGAGGCGCGAAAGCCAGGGGAGCAAACGGG
rnacentral:rRNA from 1 species